rnacentral:rRNA from 1 species
UACGUAGGGUGCGAGCGUUGUCCGGAAUUAUUGGGCGUAAAGAGCUUGUAGGCGGUUUGUCGCGUCUGCUGUGAAAAUCCGGGGCUCAACCCCGGACUUGCAGUGGGUACGGGCAGACUGGAGUGUGGUAGGGGAGACGUGGAAUUCCUGGUGUAGCGGUGGAAUGCGCAGAUAUCAGGAGGAACACCGGUGGCGAAGGCGGGUCUCUGGGCAACUACUGACGCUGAGGAGCGAAAGCGUGGGGAGCGAACAGG